UACAGAGGGGGCAAGCGUUGUUCGGAAUUACUGGGCGUAAAGGGCGCGUAGGCGGCCUUCUAAGUCGAACGUGAAAUCCCCGGGCUCAACCCGGGAACUGCGUCCGAUACUGGAAGGCUUGAAUCCGGGAGAGGGAUGUGGAAUUCCAGGUGUAGCGGUGAAAUGCGUAGAUAUCUGGAGGAACACCCGUGGCGAAGGCGGCUCUCUGGGACGGUACUGACGCUGAGACGCGAAAGCGUGGGGAGCGAACAGG
rnacentral:rRNA from 1 species